AGAAUCAACGCUGGCGGCGUGCCUAACACAUGCAAGUCGAACGCGAAAGCCCCGCAAGGGGUCAGUAGAGUGGCAAACGGGUGAGUAACACGUGGGUGACCUGCCUCAGAGUGGGGAUAACGACCCGAAAGGGUCGCUAAUACCGCAUAACAUCCUGCCUUUGGAUAGGUGGAGAUCAAAGUUGGGUUCCGCAAGGACCUGACGCUUGGAGAGGGGCCCGCGGCCGAUUAGCUAGUUGGUGAGGUAACGCUCACCAAGGCAACGAUCGGUA
rnacentral:rRNA from 1 species